CCCGGGGGCAUUGCCUCAGUAGCGGCGAGUGAAGCGGCAAGAGCUCAGAUUUGAAAUCGUGCUUUGCGGCACGAGUUGUAGAUUGCAGGUUGGAGUCUGUGUGGAAGGCGGUGUCCAAGUCCCUUGGAACAGGGCGCCCAGGAGGGUGAGAGCCCCGUGGGAUGCCGGCGGAAGCAGUGAGGCCCUUCUGACGAGUCGAGUUGUUUGGGAAUGCAGCUCCAAGCGGGUGGUAAAUUCCAUCUAAGGCUAAAUACUGGCGAGAGACCGAUAGCGAACAAGUACUGUGAAGGAAAGAUGAAAAGCACUUUGAAAAGAGAGUGAAACAGCACGUGAAAUUGUUGAAAGGGAAGGGUAUUGCGCCCGACAUGGGGAUUGCGCACCGCUGCCUCUCGUGGGCGGCGCUCUGGGCUUUCCCUGGGCCAGCAUCGGUUCUUGCUGCAGGAGAAGGGGUUCUGGAACGUGGCUCUUCGGAGUGUUAUAGCCAGGGCCAGAUGCUGCGUGCGGGGACCGAGGACUGCGGCCGUGUAGGUCACGGAUGCUGGCAGAACGGCGCAACACCGCCCGUCUUGACCCACGGACCA
rnacentral:rRNA from 1 species